rnacentral:misc_RNA from 1 species
UCUUUCCUCAUAUGACUAAUUUCAAUUCGGCUAUCAUUCAUCAAACCCUAUAAAAGCUCCUUAAACAAUAAGCAUUCUUCCAUAUCAUGAAGUGUCUUUGGAUGCAGCGGGCACCGAUCCUCCUCAUUACCCUCACAAUCAACCAUACUGGCUUUGCACAACACUUUCAAGAUAAACCUCUUAGAAGUUAAGACAUCCUCCACCCUUUUCUUCAAUUC